rnacentral:rRNA from 1 species
AACUGCAGGACACAUGAACAUCGACAUUUCGAACGCACAUUGCGGUCCUCGGAUACUCGUUCCCGGACCACUCCUGGCUGAGGGUCGUAU